rnacentral:misc_RNA from 1 species
GAUGAAGAACGCAGCGAAAUGCGAUAAGUAGUGUGAAUUGCAGAAUUCAGUGAAUCAUCGAAUCUUUGAACCCACAUUGCGCCCUUUGGUAUUCCUUAGGGCAUGCCUGUUCGAGCGUCAUUUGAAACCUCAAGCUCAGCUUGGUGUUGGGUGUCUGUCCCCGCCUCCGCGGGGACUCGCCUCAAAAUCAUUGGCGGCCGGUACGUUGGCUUCGAGCGCAGCAGAAACGCGAACUCGAGGCCCGGCGGAUCGGCGACCAGAAGUCUCUUCUUCACAGUUUGACCUCGGAUCAGGUAGGGAUACCCGCUGAACUUAAGCAUAUCAAUAAGCGGAGGA